UCGGCCGGGCAGCGCGGCCCGCCAAGUGCAGCCCUCGCGGCCCCCAGCGCCCCCUCGCGGGCCGGGCGGGGGGACGCGGCCGAGGGCCCGACUCCGUUGCCAUGGCGACCACCGCCGGCUGUUCCGGAUCGGCCCGGCUCGAGUUUCCCGGCCCUUUGUCCCCACGGAGGACGCGCGUCCCAGGGCGACCGCGUGGCUGGACUUGUCAUUCGGCCGGACCCGGCCUCGGCCUCGGCCUCGGCGGCUUCCCACGGCUCCCAGCUCGCCCCAGCCUCUCCCUCGGGCACGCCCGCCCCGGCCACGCCCUCGCUCUCGGGCCGCCUUGACCUUGGCCGAGGGGUCUGAGCCGCGCUGACCGCCACCCAAGAGUCUGUGCAGAAGCGGAGGCAGAAGACGCCCGAUGGCGUGCACUGUGGAAAGGAACGCCCUCUUUCCAGAGACGAGCGAAGAGGGGAGCGGAGUUCCGGGGCCGUUCGCGCUUCGGGGCCUCCGUUUGGAAGCGCGAGGCAGCAGGUUGGCGAGCGCGGAGGCAGGUGCGAGCCUGCGCCGCUGACUCACCCGCGAGCAGAGCAGAUUCGUCUUUCGUGCCUCAGGCUCUAUGAAGAUGCCCAAGUAUUGUUUAGAAGCAGCUCUGUGUCUGCAAGAGGGAAAAUUCCACCCGCCUCUUGGAAACAGGCUGUUUCAGGCCCCGUUCAUACACCCAACAAAUAUUUAAUCAGUGUGCACCAUCUGCCACGGCGCCAGGUGCAGGCCUGACCGGGAGCCAGGCAGAAACGGCCCACAAUGCCUUCUGACCCUGGGUUAGCGGUGGCAGUGUCUCUCGGCUCCUGCUGCAGACAGCAUCCUGAAGGCCGAUUGGGGAACUCGCGAGCUUCUUCCAGGUGCUUCCAGGCAGCGUGGGCAGGAGGAAGAAAGCACCUGCGACCACGUUCACCUUGACAGAGGCCACCUCUGCUGGGAGGGCCUCGCACCGGCACCAUCACUGUGCGUCCUCCGUUCCUAGAGCCGCCUCAGCCCGGGGACCUGGAGAGACAGCAGCCCGGGCACACCCUGAGCAAGGCCCUGACUGCCCAAGGCCGGCAUCUCAGGUGAGAGCAGGCUCGCUAGGUCAUGUGGAAACUCUUCCGGAAAAGAUCAGUGUGCUUCUGCUGCUGCAGUCCUAAGAAGAUCCUUACAGGCACCACACACACAGAGUGCCUGGCAAGGAUGGGCCCUGGAAGAGCAGCCCUCAACUGGGAGCGAAUGCCAGCCCGAAUUCUGCAGCAACGGACGCUUCCUGCUGCAGAUCUAGUGCCAGGAGUCUGUUUUCCUAAAAGGAAAAGAACUUAAUUGGUCAGAAGGAAACCAAGGAGGGACCUCAGAGUUCCUGUACCAGCACCAGGGUUGCGAGGCCCCGCUCACCACUUCUCACCUCUCCCCACAUCCACGGCUCCCACCUGGCCCCCCAGAGCUGCCCUGGAGCUCGGUCUCCCGAACCAGGUUAACCCUUUUAAACAUAGAUCAGGUGGCGUACGUCACAUUUUGAAAACAUCACAAACCACUGCCACAGCCUCUCCUGCUCUAUCUGGCCUGGCCAGGCCUACCUCUCUAGCUCCGUGCCCUCGGGGUCCUGGUGGCCACUGUCCCAGCUUCAACAGCUCAUGCCCCCCCGUAGGGCCUUUGGAGUUGCUGUUCGGUCUGCCUAGGAUGCUCUUCCUCAAGAACUUCACUUUGUUCAGGUUAGAGUCCAAAUAUCCUCUCCUCAAAACAUGCACCUCCCACCUGUGUACUCAUCUCAUUCCUGUGGCUACUGUGACAGAUUUCCCCAAACGUGGUCGCUUAAGACAACACACAUUGAUUGCCUGGCAGUUGCAGAAGUCAGGCAUCCAAAACCAGUUUCACUGGGCCCAGAUCAAGGUGUCACAGGGCCGCUUUCCCUCUGGAGGCACUAACCGAGACUGUUUUCCAGCCUCUGCAGUCGCAGUCCGUGGAUGCCUGGGUGCCCUUCUCCCUCUUCAGAGAACUGCCUUCUGUCCCUGCUGUGGUCCAAUCUCCCGCUGCCUCCCUCUUAUCAGGACCCUUACAUCCAGGGCCUGCCCAGAUCAUCCAGGACAGUACAAGGGCAAAUGCAAGUUAAAACUAAGAAAGACAAGCUUGCAUUCCUGGUGCAAAAAGCGAGAGACUUUCCCCACAGCCACCACCCUUUCCUUAGAAUACUUGUCAUUGUGAAUGUUUCUCUGUCUCUUUGAGAUGUGUGUAUACAGAAACCUCUUGCCAGCUUUACCACCCACGACUGUCUCUCUCAGGGACCUGGAAGCCAUCUCUUUGAAAUGUAAAUCUCAAGGGAGACAGCACCCUGUCUCCCUGUCCCCAUGGGAGGCUGGGACCCUAACCUGGGUGGACACCUGGCUCCAAGCUGCAAAACUACCUCCUGUCAUAAAGGUAUGAGAAGCGUGUUUUUCCUCUGGACAAAGGCAAUUCACCAACACCCCCAUUCCCAGGUGAAUCUGGGAUGAACUCUGUGUGACAAAGGUCAAGUCCUCUCACCGGAGGACUAGUGACAGUGUACCUGGAGAACAUGUGUGUAACAGACUGCACCUGCUGGGCUGUGUAACAGGUGAGAUUUCUUUCUGUCUUUGCAAUCUCUUGGUGGACUUCCUGUGAUGUGCAUCUCAUUCUGGUGUGGUGAUCAUUCAAUAAUAAAACUGUUUUGUGUUUUUUUCUCUUC